rnacentral:rRNA from 1 species
GUCUACAGCCAUGCCGCCUUGAACAAGCCUGAUCUCGUCUGAUCUCGGAAGCUAAGCAGGGUCGGACCUGGUUAGGACUUGGAUGGGAGACCACCUAGGAACACCAGUGCUGUAGGUG